AACGAACGCUGGCGGCAUGCCUAACACAUGCAAGUCGAACGAGACCUUCGGGUCUAGUGGCGCACGGGUGCGUAACGCGUGGGAACCUGCCCUUAGGUUCGGAAUAACUCCCCGAAAGGGGUGCUAAUACCGGAUAAUGUCUUCGGACCAAAGAUUUAUCGCCUUUGGAUGGGCCCGCGUUGGAUUAGCUAGUUGGUAGGGUAAAAGCCUACCAAGGCGACGAUCCAUAGCUGGUCUGAGAGGAUAAUCAGCCACACUGGGACUGAGACACGGCCCAGACUCCUACGGGAGGCAGCAGUGGGGAAUAUUGGACAAUGGGCGAAAGCCUGAUCCAGCAAUGCCGCGUGAGUGAUGAAGGCCUUAGGGUUGUAAAGCUCUUUUACCCGGGAUGAUAAUGACAGUACCGGGAGAAUAAGCUCCGGCUAACUCCGU
rnacentral:rRNA from 1 species